UACGUAGGGUGCGAGCGUUUGUCCGGAAUUACUGGGCGUAAAGAGCUCGUAGGUGGUUUGUCGCGUUGUCCGUGAAAACUCACAACUCAAUUGUGGGCGUGCGGGCGAUACGGGGCAGACUGGAGUACUGCAGGGGAGACUGGAAUUCCUGGUGUAGCGGUGGAAUGCGCAGAUAUCAGGAGGAACACCGGUGGCGAAGGCGGGUCUCUGGGCCGAUACUGACGCUGAGGAGCGAAAGCGUGGGGAGCGAACAGG
rnacentral:rRNA from 1 species